rnacentral:rRNA from 1 species
ACGGAAGGCAGCAGUGGGGAAUAUUGCACAAUGGGGGAAACCCUGAUGCAGCGACGCCGCGUGAGUGAUGAAGUAUUUCGGUAUGUAAAGCUCUAUCAGCAGGGAAGAUAAUGACGGUACCUGACUAAGAAGCACCGGCUAAAUACGUGCCAGCAGCCGCGGUAAUACGUAUGGUGCAAGCGUUAUCCGGAUUUACUGGGUGUAAAGGGUGCGUAGGUGGUAUGGCAAGUCAGAAGUGAAAACACGGGGCUCAACCCCGUGACUGCUUUUGAAACUGUCAAACUAGAGUGCAGGAGAGGAAAGCGGAAUUCCUAGUGUAGCGGUGAAAUGCGUAGAUAUUAGGAGGAACACCAGUGGCGAAGGCGGCUUACUGGACUGUAACUGACGUUGAGGCUCGAAAGCGUGGGGAGCAAACAGGAUUAGAUACCCUGGUA